UAUCAAUAGCCAAGAAUGUUAUACUUAUUCAGAGAAAUUGGAUGAAUUAACCAAAGAGCCUCAAAGCCUCACUCAUGAGCUAGAAGUGCCUACUUCGGAUCAACAGAUGAUACAAAUGAAGAAUGAAAACAUCAUUUGAAAAUUGUCUUCUUGAAAUCAUUGUCUUGGUUCCCUAGGGGUGCUCUCCAAGCUCAGCAUGAAGCCAGAAGGAAGGGGCAGCAAUUACAUGGAGUAGCAAUAACAGACCAGCCUCCUGGGUGCAAAGCACGGUGGACAAGGGCAAGAAAUGACCGGAGACGUGGCUUCUAGCCGUGGGACUCCCUCACCCACGUGAUCUUCCUGGCUU